rfam:Puccinia sorghi strain RO10H11247 Scaffold_227, whole genome shotgun sequence.
GCUGAGAUGUCCGAGCGGUCUAAGGAGCUGGAUUCAAGUGACAAUAGUACUCGCUUCCCCUAACGAGGUGGAUUUCCCAGUAGGGCAACCUGCGGGGGUUCGAAUCCCCCUCUCAGCA